rnacentral:tRNA from 1 species
UCCCUGGUAGUAUAUCGGUUAGUACACGCGCCUGUCAUUUGCUUAUGAAAUACGGACGCGCGAAAGCGGGGUUCGACUCCCCGCCAGGGAG